GGUGGGGCUGGGGGCGGCCGCGCUGAGCAGCCUCCUCGCAGAACUGGGCAGUUUCACGCGGGAACUGCGGCGAGACCACGGGGCACGCCCUCGCCCCGAGCGCCCUCAGAGCCGGGCUGCUACCUGGGGAGAAACCCUAAACUGACCUGGCCCGUCAGCCUCCUGCUACAUUGAAGGAAAAGAAGCCUUCAAGAGUGAACAGAGCGGCAGAACCCGGGCUAGAACUCAGCUCACUGGCUUGCCACCAGGCUUCUUCCUCUUCAGCAAGUUUGCAGCCGGGAGGAGAGCCUACAGCACAACCGAAGAGAGGGAGGCCGUCUUGUCUCCAUGAUUGGAGAAACAUGAAGAUAAAAGCUUCCCUGAGAGGAUGAUGGAGCAAAAUGAUACAAGGGGCCCAGACUCCCUUCCUUCAGACUUCUUGUUAUGUGUGGGAAAUAAAAUGAUAUUACAAGGUUAA